AUGAGGACACAGAGGAGAGACUUUAUUUCCUUAGUGAUUAUUGUUCCUUCUAUGUGUGUGUGUGUGUGUUUGUGUUACAGCCCAGACUGGCCAGGAGUCAGUUUCCCUAUGGAGAAAAACAGGUCAACAAUCAGUCAUGGAUUAUCAGACAACGUCCGUUCUCCACAAACCAGAACUAAUGCCACUGACAGUGACAGUAACGAGUCGACUACAUCCAAUGUGUCUUUUAAGAGUGAUCAGUCAAAAGAAGAAAACGGGAAUUUCAAAGGAAAAGUGUCUCCUCUCAGGUACAUUUUUACAAACAAUAAAAUGUAACUAAAUUAAUUAACAUUUUGCAAACACACACACUCCUUCCCCCUUUGAGCCUCCAUAAUACAAGAUUUUAUCAAUGCAAAGAAAACUCUAGGACCCUGAGGCAAGAUUGUGGCUGACCCCUCCCACCCCAGCCACAAACUCUUUGAACCUCUUCCCUCUGGCAGGAGGCUGCGGUCCAUCAGGACCAAAACCUCUCGCCACAAAAACAGUUUCUUCCCGUCUGCAGCUGGCCUCAUUAACAAGGCCCGGACCCCCCACUGUCACUGACUCUCAUACCCACCCUGUAUAUACAGUAUGCAUUACAUUAAUGCACUCCCGUCUUCUGUACAGUUUUCCUAUCUGUUCUUAUCUUUCUUAUCUUUAUUUAUCUAUAUUUUCUUUAAAAAAGUACUUUAUUCUUGUGUGAUUUCUGUGUGACUUGUAUAUUUUUGUAUGUUUUAUAUAUUUAUCUUUUUAUUUUUUUGUGUGAUCGUUUGUUUUAAGCACCUUUGCACCAAGACAAAUUCCUAGUAUGUGUAAAAACCUACCUGGCAAUAAAUCUCAUUCUGAUUCUGAUUCUGAUUCUGAUUCUUAAGGUAAUCUUUUACUGACAUUAAAAUGUAACUUCAUUCAUUAACACCUUGUACACACACACACACACACACACACACACACACACACACACACACACACACACACACACACAGCAGUUGGAAAACAACAGACGGGAGCACACGAAGCUGCAGCCGUUAUUCACAGAGAAACUGUAGCCUAGCAUUAAGGAUUUCUCUUUAUAGUUACAUGUAGAAGCUCUUUUGUCUUUUUCCACUCACUGUUCUCAUAUUUGAAAUCCUGUUUCUUUAGUUUUUAAUGUUUAUUUUCAUACUGAUGAAGGAGUUUCAUAACACUGUUUAUUACUUUCUGCAGGGAGGAGGAGAAGAAAGAACGGUGAGUAUAAUCUAUUAACCUCAUAAAGAUUCUUUCACACAUAAUAUAUUGAUGAAGCUGUGAACAUCAUUAAAACCUCUUUAGUUUACUUACAUUCAUCUUUUCUGUCACUUGUAUCUGUUGUAUCCACACUGAUACUGAAGUUCAAUCAACUUUAUUUUAUUGAAGAUCAACAACUGUAAAUAUUAUAAUAUAUAACCCUCAUAAUGUUCCUGUUGUCCUAGAAUAAUCUAAUAAUAAUUCAUGUUAAAGUGAGAAGUAGAGGAAACUACUUUAAAAAGAGGAGAGAAAUCAUUCAGUGGGAACAGAAUCAACUUUUACUGAACUUUUCUGAUGUCUACUUGGUAGUUUCUGUGUAUCAGCAGUUGCUGUGGCUGAUGGAUCACAAUCUAAUUUACCAUCCUGGUGGUCUUUCUCUCUUGUCCAUUAGAACCAGAACCAGAACCAGAACCAGACCCAGAACCAGACCCAGUGGAGAGUCUGCUACAGCUAAUGUGUCCUUCAAGAAGGAUCAAUCAAAAGAUAUGGCCAAAGGAAAAAGCUCUUCUCUCAGGUACAUUUUUUCAAAUAUUAAAAUGUAACUUUAUUCAAUAAAAUUUNNNNNNNNNNNNNNNNNNNNCAUGCAGCUGGACAACAUUAGUGGACAUCAGCAUAUUGAUAUCAGCAGGAUAAAACGUACUGGAUGAAAAUGUGNAUUCAUUUAUCAACAUUUAGUACAGACACACAUUACAUGUAGAAGUUCUUUUGUCUUUUUCCACUCACUGUUCUCAUAUUUGAAAUCCUGUUUCUUUAGUUAUUAAUGUUUAUUUUCAUACUGAUGAAGGAGUUUCAUAACACUGUUUAUUACUUUCUGCAGGGAGGAGGAGAAGAAAGAACGGUGAGUAUAAUCUAUUAACCUCAUAAAGAUUCUUUCACACAUAAUAUAUUGAUGAAGCUGUGAACAUCAUUAGAACCUCUUUAGUUUAGUUACAUUCAUCUUUUCUGUCACUUGUAUCUGUUGUAUCCACACUGAUACUGAAGUUCAAUCAACUUUAUUUUAUUGAAGAUCAACAACAGUAAAUAUUAUAAUAUAUAACCCUCAUAAUGUUCCUGUUGUCCUAGAAUAAUCUAAUAAUAAUUCAUGUUAAAGUGAGAAGUAGAGGAAACUACUUUAAAAAGAGGAGAGAAAUCAUUCAGUGGGAACAGAAUCAACUUUUACUGAACUUUUCUGAUGUCUACUUGGUAGUUUCUGUGUAUCAGCAGUUGCUGUGGCUGAUGGAUCACAAUCUAAUUUACCACCCUGGUGGUCUUUCUGUCUCGUCCACCAGAACCAGCGACAGUGAGGAGUCCAAUAUAUCCAGUGUGUCCUUCAAGAGUGAUCAGUCAAGAGACAACAUCAUAAGUUUCAAACAAGGACAGCCUUCUGUUAAGUAAGCUUUUAAUAACAUUAAAUUGUAUCUGCAUUCAUUAACUCAAUGAGAGAGAAACAGCAUUUUAUUUAUAAGAAUGCUCCUCAUGGAUCGAUCCGAUGGAGAGUAAUAAUCACCACUUUUAUUUAUAUAUCUCUUAUUUUACAACAUGCUUUAAAGUAAAACAUGGAUAAGUAAAAAGCUUAAAGGUCCAGUGUGUAGGAUUUAGUUGCAUCCAGUGGUGUGAUUGCAGAUUGCAACUCCCUUCGCUUCACCCUCCCCUUCCAAAUGUGUAGGAGAAACUCGGCAAAAAUGCAAACAGCCCAAUCUACAGCCAAUAUUUGGUUUGUCCUUUCUGGGCUACUGUAGAAACAUGUCCGUUCAACGUGGAAGACUCCACAAAAAGUGAGAUUAGAUUCUGUUUCAGCAAAUAGAUCCUCCUCAAUGUUACACACUGGACCUUUAAAAAAGAAAAGAAACAUAUAUAUAUAGAUAUGAAAUGAUUACAGGAAUGGGGGAUUGCGUGUGUCGAUUAUCUUUCUUUGGUUAGUCAACAUUCUGUGUCUAUCCUGAGUGAUAGGUCACAAAGUUGCAUUGAAAUUUUUUAUAAAAAAACCUCUCCUAAAAACAGAUAAUCUCAGGUAAACUGAGGUAGCUUGAUUGUAAUUGAUUUUAUUUGUUGCAUCGUAGUAAUGAUUAUGACUCAUUGCAGGAUGAAGGAAGAUUUCAGAAGACGCCAUCGUGAAAUGUGAAGAUGUCAAACUCAGUGCUUCCCAAAGGAUGACAGUGUAAGUGUGGCGUGGAUGCUUUCAUUAAUAACAGCAGGUGAGCCGUGUGUGGAGGAGGCUUAAAAUAUUUUUGGUUUGUUAUGAAACUAUGGUUGGGGAAAUUAGACCAUGGUCUAGGUAAUUAAUGGGAAGCACUGCAAACUUUCUACCCCCAUAUGCAUUCCUUCAUACUUUUUGGUGAAGCAGGGAAAAGCAUUAAAACUUUUCAGCAUACUUACAUUUGUUAUUUUGUCACCUAUAUCUGGACUGACACUAAAGUCUCUAACAUCUACUUCUUUCUCUUGAAGAUGAAAACAACUACAAAUGUUGUCAUAUUCCUACUGUACUGGAAUGAUUUCAUAUGAUUGUGCAGGAUUAAUGUUAAUGUGAGAACAAG
rnacentral:lncRNA from 15 species